rnacentral:lncRNA from 1 species
CUUCGUUUCCUUGCUUUCCAGUGGAAUCGGUUUAUUUUUUGGAUUUUUUGUUUAUUCUCCAAGUAAAGGUAAUGAUUAGUUGUCCAAUAUAAAUCACAGGAAGAAUGUUGGAAUCCAGUUUCCUUAUUCUGUGUUACAUCAAUGGAAAGAAUUAUUUCCCACCCAUCUUUUGUUUUGAUCUCUAAUUGGAAAUUCCUUCGUCUUCGGUGAAUUUGUUACAUAACUGUGACGAAAAGAUUGUGUAAAAGAAAAACAAUUGGUCGAGUAUUUUAAAUAAUAUCUCGUGUGUUCUUGUGAGAAUGUCUGCGGCGCAUGUCUGGCUCUGAGAGGAAAAUUUGCUUCCCAACCACAGCGUUUCGGUUUCAGUCCCACUGCGUGCUUUCUACUAUAAUCGCAGGUCUGGUUACUGGAUUUGGUAGACGGAAACUGAAAGAAGCCCGGUAUAUAUAUAUGUGAAUGAGUAUGUGUGCGUAAGUAUAUGAGUAGGUGCGCUUGUGUGUGUGUGUGUAUAAUAACUUGUGUGUGUGUAUGUGGGUGUGUAUGCGUGGCGUUUGUCUUUGUGUUUUUGUUUCUCCUCCACCACUAAUUGACAACCGGUGUUUGUUUGCUUACUUCCCUGUAACCUAGCGGUGCGACAAACAAGAACGAUAGUAUAAGUAGCAAUCUUUAUGAAAAUACCCGAUUUAUUUACAUUAUUUACAUUUGACGGAUAUUUGUCUUCAUCCGAGAAAGGGCGAGAGAAAGAAAAGGAGAAAGUAGAUAUAUAUAUAUAUACAAAAUGAGAAAAUGGAGAAAUAUAUCUAAAUCAAUCAUCAACUAUCAGAUAAUACCGAAUCAUAUACUUUAUUAAAACACUACACAAUAGCAAUAUAUAUAUAUAUAUAUAUACACACACACACACACACACAUAUAUAUAUAUAUAUAUAUAUAUAUAUAUAUACAUACAUAUACAUAUAUGCAUAUGUGUGAGCUUGGCCGUGUGCGUAUAUGUGUCCUUACACGAAUCAUUAUUCCGGGCCCAUCCCCCAUCACGUGGAAAGUUUUCUGUCACUGUAAAAGAAACAGCAACUUUCGCCUCUGACAAAUGACGCAACAACAAGAAUUGUUUCUGCGACUUAAUCUGCCUUACCGAAAAGAUUACACACUUUUCCAAUAUUUACAGGUAUACGCAGGUGUUUAUAGCCAAAGUUGAUGGAAACCAGAGGUAGGCUAAUCACACUAUUGGAAUAAUUACAGAUCACCUAAUUACAUUCUGUCAAAGCCGAGUAAUUUAAUUAACUGCUUGAUUUGAAAUUUCGGUUUCAUAACUCAGAGGAGAUAAUAAACACGAACUUUAACUGAUAUGAUGUUUCUUCGGUGCGUUCGUUAAACGGAAUGGCUCGAUAAAAUGAAUGACGUUUCGGGUUUAUUAAUCUCAGAAGACGUUUAUCAUUCCUCGCAGCUCCUGCUUUUAUUUCCAAACAUUAUCCUUUCCCGAGAUAAUUAAACUAACUGAUAGCCCACUUCACCCUCUCUCAAUCUCUCAAUCUCUCUCUCUCUCUCUCUCUCUCUCUCUCUCUCUCUCUCUCUCACUAUCAAGCUAUCUAUCUAUCUAUCUUCCUCUUCUGCAUAUCUUAGCCAUCCAGCUUCCAAAGUGGUAACAUGAUCUGUUUGGUACUGGAACACUUAAAAGCUGCUUGCUUCGUUAACUUUCCUUCAGCUUUCAAAACUUAGACCAUUCGCGGGCAGGCUGCGGCCCACGAGAUUUCAUGAAUGGUAAGCAACGAAACAUUACCAUGUAUCAUUUUAGUAGCACGGUACGCUUGAUGAUGAGCCAUGUCUCAUGUGGCCCGCUUCUCAAAAUAUGUUGCUUCUGCCAGGAUUCAUCCAUUACAUCUGUAGUGAGAUUAAGCGAUAGAAGAAGAAUUUUCAGUCGCUAGGACAUGCUUCCAUCCAGUUCCAUUGGUUCGGAAAGAAAUAUCAGCAUCAUAGAAAUAUAUAGGCAUGGCUGUGUGGUAAGAAUUUUGCUUCCAAACCAUAUUGUUCUUGGUUCAGUCCCUCUACGUGGCAACUUGGGCAAAGUCUUCUACUAUAGUUUCGGGACAACCAGAGCCUUGUGAGCGGAUUUGGUGCAUGGAAACGGAAAGAGUGCCAUUUGGGAUUUUGGGUCUUCUGGAUACCAAAACCUCUCAUAUAAAUAUAUAUAUAUAUAUAUAUAUAUAUAUAUAUAUAUAUAUAUAUAUAUAUAUAUAACGGGAAGGUUUAUGAAAAUAAACAAAAGACGAAGGCAGGUUUACGAAAAUAAACAAAAGAUGAAGGCAGGUGGAGUACAAACAAACAAUGUAUUAGUAUGGCGCUCAGGAUUAGAAAUAAAACAAUAAAAAUAUCGUUAAUAAAAUAAAAUUGGAAAAGUCACAGAGGUAUAUUUUAGAGAAUGUCUAAUAUCUUUGUUACUGUGAGUGGUUUAAAACAAAGCAGGUUUUAAUGUAUCUUAUCAAAUAUUAAAAUGAGGGCCAUAUUU